rnacentral:tRNA from 1 species
GGUGAGGUGUCGGGGUGGCUGAAGGAGCACGCCCUGAAAGGUGUGUAUACGGCAACGUAUCGGGGGUUCGAACCCCUCCCUCACCGCCA